rnacentral:rRNA from 1 species
AACGAACGCUGGCGGCAUGCUUAACACAUGCGAGUCGCACGGGAACCUGGGGCUUGCUCCAGGGGAUAGUGGCGCACGGGUGCAUAACACGUAGGUAAUGUUCCCUUUAGUUUGGAAUAACCUGCCGAAAGGCGGGCUAAUACCGGAUAAGUUCCCUUGAGGUUCGCCGAGGGGGAAGAAAGCAGGGCAACUUGCGCUGAAGGAUCAGCCUGCGUCCCAUCAGCUAGUUGGUGAGGUAACGGCUCACCAAGGCUACGACGGGUAGCUGGUCUGAGAGGACGAUCAGCCACACUGGGACUGAGACACGGCCCAGACUCCUACGGGAGGCAGCAGUGGGGAAUAUUGGACAAUGGGCGAAAGCCUGAUCCAGCAAUGCCGCGUGAGUGAUGAAGGCCUUCGGGUUGUAAAGCUCUGUCGGGAGGGACGAAAAAGCGGAUUAACAAACCGCAUUGACGGUACCUCCAAAGGAAGCACCGGCUAACUCUGUGCCAGCAGCCGCAGUAA